AAAUUGAAGAGUUUGAUCAUGGCUCAGAUUGAACGCUGGCGGCAGGCCUAACACAUGCAAGUCGGACGGUAGCACAGAGAGCUUGCUCUUGGGUGACGAGUGGCGGACGGGUGAGUAAUGUCUGGGGAUCUGCCCGAUAGAGGGGGAUAACCACUGGAAACGGUGGCUAAUACCGCAUAACGUCGCAAGACCAAAGAGGGGGACCUUCGGGCCUCUCACUAUCGGAUGAACCCAGAUGGGAUUAGCUAGUAGGCGGGGUAAUGGCCCACCUAGGCGACGAUCCCUAGCUGGUCUGAGAGGAUGACCAGCCACACUGGAACUGAGACACGGUCCAGACUCCUACGGGAGGCAGCAGUGGGGAAUAUUGCACAAUGGGCGCAAGCCUGAUGCAGCCAUGCCGCGUGUAUGAAGAAGGCCUUCGGGUUGUAAAGUACUUUCAGCGGGGAGGAAGGCGAUGCGGUUAAUAACC
rnacentral:rRNA from 1 species